ensembl:lncRNA novel transcript
GUUUGAGAUAAUCCAAGCAGCAUUUCUGAAUGAAUCUCAAUUUCAGUAUUUUUACUUUAGGACUGGAACCACACUGCUGAAGGCUUUAGAUGAUGAGAAAAAGGGAGAGAGGCUGCCCUCAAGUUCUUCAACCAACGAAGAGGAAACAUUGAGGAUUGGAAAGCUUAAGGCCAAGAUUAUUAGUAAAGGGCUCCCUGUGAGAUUUUAUAGUGAUCUCCACGAGUUGGGUGAGCUGGUUUUUAAGGACUGGUCAGUUGUGAUAGAAAAACUUCAUCCAGCCACUUUAAUGAUUGAAAAUAUAGAGAACACGGUUGUGGGAAGUCCACUCUGAUUGCCAACUGGGUUAAUUACUUCAAAAAGAAACAUCCGAGCAUGUUGUUGAUUCCUCAUUUUGUGGGCAGCACCUGUGAAAGCAGCUACAUCAUGUCUGUGAUCCAUUACUUCAUCACAGAAUUACAGUACAGAAACUACGGUACUCAGCUUGAAACAGAUAUUCUCAACGAAGACUCAGAUGGCUUGGUCUUCUCAUUUCUUGUGGAAGUAUUCAUUGCUUCCAUCAGUUUAAAGCCAUGCAUACUUGUACUAGAUGGAAUUGAAGAACUGAUUGGCAUUUAUGGGAUUUCAGGUCAGAAGGUGAAAGAUUUUUCCUGGCUGCCACACUCACUCUCCCCUCAUUGCAAAUUUAUCAUGAGCACUGUCUCUUCCAGCCUGUCCUACAAGUCGUUGUGUGCCCGCCCGGAUGUGAGGACAGUGGAACUCAUUAGCACAGGAGAUGAAGAAACAAAAUUAAACAUCUUUAGAAAGCAUCUCUCCAUUCCCAUGAUGGACCCCUUCGAACAGAGCACACAGGCGUUGAGGAAAAAACCAGACCUGAGUCCUUUAAAACUCACAAUCCUAGCCAAUGAAUUGAAAGAAUAUAGAAUCAACCACAAUGAGUUUCAGUGUAUGAAGGAGUACUUGGAGGCUGUCUCUGUUCAGGAGCUCUGGGAAUUGGUUCUCAAACGCUGGAUUGAAGACUACAGUUGGACGUUUCAACCCAAAAGGGCAAAUUCAGACACUGUGGCUUCAGGAGAAGGACUGGACAGCUGGGUGGCCGACGCUCUGUGCUUACUGUGCCUGUCGCAUGGUGGCUUGGCUGAGGAUGAGCUACUCCAGCUUUUGGACAUGCUGGGCUACAGGAAUCAUUACAAAGUGACCGCCUUGCACUGGGCUGCCUUCCGCAACGCCACCAAACAGUGGGUCCAGGAGAAGCCCAAUGGCCUCCUGUAUUUCUGGCACCAGUCCCUGUGAAGUGCAGUGGAGCACAAGCUUCUUGAGCCAGUCCAUGACAGACAUGCUUCUCAAAGUACAGAAUGCUAUUGGAGAACUGUAUCUUGAAACUGGAAUGACUCAGGAAGGGUUCCAGUAUUUCCAGAAAGCAUGGUCAAGCAUGCUGCGUCUUUCACUCAGUGACUUAGAAGACAGCCGGGACUUGGUGAAGCAGAAAGUCAGAGUUUUGGACAAUCUGGCAAAGUCAGCAUCUGAAGAAUACUUAAAAGAAAACCACAUUUUGGAAUAUGCAACUGAAAUUUCCAACUUACUGGAUAACAAUCCCCGUGAUCAAGCUACCAUGAAAUACAUCGAAGGUGUUCUAAUGUUCGUUGCUGGAAAUACCUCUCUUGCAAAAAUGAAACUUCGAGAGUGCUUAAAUAUCAGGAAAAGCUUGUUUGGCAAGAAAAACAUGCUGGUUGGAGAAGUUAUGGAAUUUUUAGCGGAUUUGCUAUUUUUUCCCCAGAGAGAUAGUAAAAAGUGUUUUUUGAGGCACUUGAUACCACAUACGCCUCCUCUUACUCAUGUUAAGACCAGCACUGUGAGCAGAGAACAGGACUUUCUUUACAGAAGCAAAAAGCUUGACUGUAGAACCGUUGCCUCGUAAAAGAAAAAUCUAAACACGUAGCAUACUGACUGAGUCAUCUGUCCUGCCUGGCUGCCCCACCCCAAAUCACAAGACACCGAGUACUGCCCGGCCAGCCUUGAUGACCAUACAUGGAUGGCUUCCUCCAGGCCUCACUGUCAACAGCCAACCUUCGAAACAACGGAGUAGCCAGCCAUCUCCUUGUUGAAGGUUAUCCUUAGAUCCCAAAGGAAGCAAGUACUUAAAUAUUAUAAACAAGUGAUAAAAAUAAAGGAAAAUGCAGAAACUCUGGCCAAGUCCUCACUCCUCAGGAAGCAACUGAGCAUCAGCCUCAGCGAUACGUUGUGUAAAUUAGGUCAUUUAUUGGCAAGUGACUCUUGUCAUCACGUCAUGAUUGAGGCAGUAGGCUAUUUAUACAGAUCAGUUGAUUUAAGGGUGAUCCACCUGGGAUCUUCUCAUUCAUCAAUCCAUGGAAUCCAUGGAAUCCUGCACCUUCUGAGAGAAAUUGAGUGGAUCCGGAGCCGGAGAUAUUGGCCUCAAGGUAUGAGCCAGCAACAUUCUGAGGGUUCUAGGAAUGGCUUCUCAUUAUGGGAGCACUUGGUUAAAUUAAACUACCACAGUGCUCAGAGUUCUAAUACAGUGAGCUCUGCAAUGUGCAUGAAUGCAGAUAAAUUACACAGGGCUAGAAGAAUGGACUUGGCACCUCAGACAAUUUCAGAUAAAUCAAAAUGUGCUCCUGGAAAAGGGAAAAAGAAACCCAUUAUUUGCAUAUCUGCCGAGGAAAAGAUACAACGGAAGACACAAAACAAUGCUGAAAUAUGGAAUGGCUCAGGAAAGGAAGCCUCAAAGAAAAAGACAGACUAUUCCUCUAACAUUUUAUCUUUGGGUAAAAUGAAUGGUUUAAUAAAGCUUUCAAGGCAAAGAAUUUUGUUAGCUAAAAGUGAGAGUGGAGAAGGCGAAAUCACCACCAUUUACCACCAU